AACAUCAGUGAUUUUAUUGCUGUCGACAACUUCUGUCAAUCAAUGAUGAAGUUGUUUUCGAGUCGAGCGAAGAAUGACUUGACCCGUCGCUGGGCACCUGGCUUUGAAAGGUCGUUCAGAUCCUUUUGGAUAAUCCGGGAAUCAGCAGUGGUUACAGUU
rnacentral:snoRNA from 1 species